GGUAAAUCUAUAAGGGCUUUACAAUAUUGAAUCCAUAAUUCAAUAUUGCACAAUUUCUGAGCACUGAUAUGACCAGGUAACCAGACAGAAAGUCAGAAAAGGCAAAAUAGCCACAAAAGUCAGAAUGGAGAUCUGCAAAGCAAGAGUACCUGUGGUUUUCAGCAGCCUUAAUGUGUGUAUUUGCCUGCCCCCUGGCAGAUGCAGUUGUAACUGCACUAAAAUGCCAUGAGAAAGGAAAACCACUCCCUACAACAGACUACCACAGUGCAGGUCUGCAAGAGUAUGUCCCGCUGUUUUAGCUUCAUUUAUUUGUUACUGCCUAAUGGGUGCAUGGUAAUUUCCAGAAAAGGUGUAAGGAGGAACCUAUUUAUUUAUUUUAAGACGGACUGUGGUAAAUGACCAGCUGCUGUGGGUGGUGUUCAGUAGACACACUGAAAACUUUUGCAGCUCAGCUAAGAUCAGAGCCUUCCCUGUUAAUGGACAAGAUUUGCAGCAAACUACUACUGCUGACAUAGUUUUGUCUAUUUAACAAGAAAAAAUAAAUCUCACAGGUUUCCCUGAUUCUAAACACGUACUCGUACUCGUCGCCGUCCGCUUAUCCGGGACCGGGUUGCGGGGGCAGCAGGCUCAGCAGAGACGCCCAGACGUCCCUCUCUCCAGACACCUGUUAUGA